UUCAAAACAAAAUUGAAGAACAAUCCAUGCUCUACGAAGAUCAACGUGGAGGCAUCUUCAAGAAUUGUAUGGCCCUCCAAACUAUGAAGUCAAAGAACCCUCGUAAGUGAUUUGAAAUUUUAAUUACAGCAUGUUAUUUACAGCUUAACCCGUAAUAUAUGCAUGUUUAUUGUCAAUUUAGUUGAUUGGUAGCGUGCGUAUGGUGGCCGAUCUAUUGACUUACAAAGAUUUGCUAAGCGUAUUGUUAGUCUUUGUGCUUCAUCAUUUGGUUGUGAGCAUAAUUGGAGCACUUUUGAAUUUAUUCAUACAAAGAAGAGAAACCGGCUAGAGCAUAAAAGAUUGAAUGAUUUGGUUUAUGUUGCCUACAACCGGAAAAUGACUAGUAGGUUCCAAAAACGCCGUGAGGAAGCGGGUAAAAGCUAUGAUCCUUUGGUUAUGGAAGACUUUGAUUGGGAAAAUGAAUGAGUUGACCCAACAGUCCAACCUCAAUGUUCUAGUGCUUUGGACAUCACAUGGGACCAAGUUGAUGAAGCAAUUGGUGCAUCCCAUGAGCUUCGAGGUCGUAACCUUCCUAGGACCUACGCUCGUCGUGCAAGACAUAUAUCAAGAGUGGUUGAAGAAGCAAGAGUGGUUGAAGAUGAUGAGGAGGAGGGAGAGGAAGAAGACAUCAUUGUGGAUGAUGUUGAUGUUGAUAAUUUUGGUGACAAACCAAUGGAUGCUACUGAAGAUGAUGCGGAGAACAUGGAUGCUUCAAACGAUUUCGAUGAGUUUGCAUUGGAUGACUUUUGAGAGAUGAGAGAUUUGAAACUUUGAAUGAUGAUUGAUGAGAGAGUGCUAUGUCUUUUGUGCUACAUUUACAUUGCUAUUUAUCUUUUGUGCUA